rnacentral:rRNA from 1 species
ACGAACGCUGGCGGCGUGCUUACCACAUGCCCUUCGAACGGAAAGGCCCCUUUGGGGGUACUCGCGUGGCGACCGGGUGAGUAACACGUUCUUAACCUGCCCUUGACUUCGGGAUAACUUCAGGAAACUGGGGCUAAUACCGGAUAGUAAUCCUUGCUGCAUGGUUGGGGUUUGAACGCUUCGGCGGUUUUGGAUGGACUCUCGGCUUCUCAGCUUGUUUGUGGGGUAGUGGCUUACCAAGGCUUUGACGGGUAGCCGGCCGGAGAGGGCGACCGGCCACAGUGGGACGGAGAGACGGCCAAGAAGCCGACGGGAGGCAGAAGGGGGGAAUAUUGCAAAAGGGGCGGAAGACGGAUGCAGAAAGGACGCGUGCGGGAGGACGGGAUUCGGGUUGUAAACCGCGUUCAGCAGGGGCGAAGCUUGUGGUGAAGGUACCUGCAGAAGAAGCACCGGCUAACUACGUG